rnacentral:rRNA from 1 species
GACGAACGCUGGCGGCGUGCUUAACACAUGCAAGUCGAACGGUAAGGCCCUUCGGGGUACACGAGUGGCGAACGGGUGAGUAACACGUGGGUGAUCUGCCCUGCACUUCGGGAUAAGCCUGGGAAACUGGGUCUAAUACCGGACAGGACCACUGCCUGCAUGGGGGGUGGUGGAAAGCCUUUGCGGUGUGGGAUGGGCCCGCGGCCUAUCAGCUUGUUGGUGGGGUGAUGGCCUACCAAGGCGACGACGGGGAGCCGGCCUGAGAGGGUGACCGGCCACACUGAGACUGAGAUACGGCCCAGACUCCUACGGGAGGCAGCAGUGGGGAAUAUUGCACAAUGGGCGCAAGCCUGAUGCAGCGACGCCGCGUGAGGGAUGACGGCCUUCGGGUUGUAAACCUCUUUCAGCACCGACGAAGCGCAAGUGACGGUAGGUGCAGAAGAAGGACCGGCCAACUACGUGCCAGCAGCCGCCGUAA